CCACGCUUAGAAAAAUCCACACGGAGCAGUUCAGGGUCCACGCUUGACACACAAGGAAAAAACUGUGGUGGUUUUUGACCAAAUGGGGGGAAUUCCUCACCAGUCGUCGGGAUUACUUGUUGUACCUCUGUUAUCCGGACUAUUAUAGAAACAACAUGUGAUCUGUGGUUUUUGUUUUUGUUUUUAACUCGUGUGCAAUGAAGAUGCCUUGACCUGGCCAGAGUUCAGUAUGUAGAGUACUAAAGUAAUCAGUGGGAGUAAUUAGGGGGAGAAGAAUACAGGGAUGUACAGUUGAACUGCUCGCGUCAUCUUUUAGCUUCCAUUUUUUAAUUUUAUUUUUAUUUUUUUGGUCUUUUGAUCCCCCGCAGCGAGACGACUCAGUCUUGCGUUUUACACUACCUGUAGAUUCGUGGGUGGGAGGCCUUGCCCGCGGUCAGAGAAUAUAAAUAUGUUUAUCUCUUGCUAAAUAUGAUUAUAUCUUUUCAUAAUAGACCUUCAUAUUGAAGGUGAUGCUCAUGAAUGUGUAUGUACAGGAGACUCUCUGCUUGCAUUUUAGGCAAAAAAGACUGGAUGGACACAUGCAAUGUGUAGCUUCCCGAGAUGCCCUGCAUCCCUUUUUAUGGACGGACUUGGGGAUUGGACAUCUUCUAGCGACAGGUGUAAAGGACUUGACUCAACCUUGGCGUGACGGAUAUGUUAAAAAGAGAAAAAAAAAAAAGUGAAGUAUUGGUAUUGUAGAAAGACAUGAAAAUUGCUGUGUAGGAGUUCCAAAAAAAAAAAAAAAAAAGCAUUUUAUGGGAGAUCAUGUUUAAUGUGGAUGUACACAUGCUGUCUCUUGCUGGUGAGCACUUACUUUUUGUACAGUUUUCUGUUUUUAUUCCUCGUGCUUGUUAGCGGCGCACCCAUCCGCAACGGAGGGAGGAAGGCGGCACCUUGUUUCGGCCGGCCCCACAUUCAUGGCGCUAGAAAGGCUUGUCACACUCUUUACACGCAGGCACGGGCAAGCGCACGGACACCGAAGAGGCCGUUCGAGGCAGCCGACGAGGAAGAAGGACCCCACGAUCGCCAGGGAACCAGUCACAACCUCACACCAUUCUAUGGUACACGAUGGAUGAACAUGUCGACAUUUGUACAUUUGUGUAUGCGAGGACGAAAGCGUAUGCGUGUGUGAGUGUGAGAGCCUUAUUAUGUACAGACAUUUCUAUGGGCACAGGUUCAUCGUAUGCGUGUGAACGUCUCCCUUUAUUGGUCCGUUUCUGUUUAGCUGCCACUUGUAAAUUGUGACAAAAGUACACGUCCAAGAGUUUGUAAGCUGUAACUUUUCGGAAUACUGUUGUACUAAAAUGCACCUAAUAAAAGCCUUGACUAAACAAGUCCAUCACCUAAUGGUCUGACGCAUCUAUUUUUUUUUCAUAUAUAAGCAUAUGAAAAGGUGAAUUAGUCGUUAAAAUAGAGGUGGGAGGUUCUCCAGUAAUUUUACAGCGGGCUUAUCAGGCAUGUCUAAUGUUUACUUUCACAAAGAACUGACGGCUUACAUUUGAAGUCUGCACCAGUAAUAAUAAUGGAGCCAUCACUCACAAUAACGGCCGGGCAGAAAAUAGCGGAUUUAAUCUCUCUAAAGUCAAAUAUAAUACAAAAGCGGAUGCACAACAAUGCCGUAUGUUCAGGGGGUGUGGUGUUCAGUAAGGGAGCUAUUGAGAAAUAAAGAAACACGUGGAAAGAAAAGAGAAUUGUGAUCAU